rnacentral:rRNA from 1 species
AGCGAUUCCCCUAGUAACGGCGAGUGAAGAGGGAAGAGCCCAAGAUUGAAAGCUGGCGUCUUCGGCGUCCGCAUUGUAAUCUCAAGAAGUGUUUUCCGCUUCGGACCAUGCCUAAGUCCCUUGGAAAAGGGCAUCAUAGAGGGUGAUAAUCCCGUACAUGGCAUGGAGCGCCCGAAGCUUUGUGAUACGCUUUCUAAGAGUCGAGUUGUUUGGGAAUGCAGCUCAAAAUGGGUGGUAAAUGCCAUCUAAGGCUAAAUAUUGGGGAGAGACCGAUAGCGAACAAGUACAGUGAUGGAAAGAUGAAAAGAACUUUGAAAAGAGAGUUAAACAGUACGUGAAAUUGCCAAAAGGGAAGGGUAGGAGGUCAGAGAUGCGGCUUGGGAUUCAGCCUUGCUUUUGCAUGGUGUUUUUCCCCUGUUGCAGGCCAACGUCGGUUUUGGGCACUGGAGAAUGGUGAGAGGAACGUGGCAUCCCUCGGGAUGUGUUAUAGCCUCUUACUGGAUACAGCGACCGAGACCGAGGACAGCAGCGUACUCGCAAGAGCGGGCCUUCGGGCACCUUUACGCUUAGGGCGUUGGCAUAAUGGCCCUCUACCACCCGUCUUGAACACGGGAAAACAAA